CCGUAAACGAUGAGUGCUAAGUGUUGGAGGGUUUCCGCCCUUCAGUGCUGCAGCAAACGCAUUAAGCACUCCGCCUGGGGAGUACGACCGCAAGGUUGAAACUCAAAGGAAUUGACGGGGGCCCGCACAAGCGGUGGAGCAUGUGGUUUAAUUCGAAGCAACGCGAAGAACCUUACCAGGUCUUGACAUCCUUUGAACACUCUAGAGAUAGAGCUUUCCCUUCGGGGACAAAGUGACAGGUGGUGCAUGGUUGUCGUCAGCUCGUGUCGUGAGAUGUUGGGUUAAGUCCCGCAACGAGCGCAACCCUUAUUGUUAGUUGCCAUCAUUCAGUUGGGCACUCUAGCGAGACUGCCGGUGACAAACCGGAGGAAGGUGGGGAUGACGUCAAAUCAUCAUGCCCCUUAUGACCUGGGCUACACACGUGCUACAAUGGGAAGUACAACGAGUCGCUAGACCGCGAGGUCAUGCAAAUCUCUUAAAGCUUCUCUCAGUUCGGAUUGCAGGCUGCAACUCGCCUGCAUGAAGCCGGAAUCGCUAGUAAUCGCGGAUCAGCACGCCGCGGUGAAUACGUUCCCGGGCCUUGUACACACCGCCCGUCACACCACGAGAGUUUGUAACACCCGAAGUCGGUGAGGUAACCUUUUUGGAGCCAGCCGCCUAAGGUGGGAUAGAUGAUUGGGGUGAAGUCGUAACAAGGUAGCCGUAUCGGAAGGUGC
rnacentral:rRNA from 1 species